CAUUGCUUGGAUGGGUCCAGAACCUGGCAUUGAAGACGGAAGGCCAGGCAUGUUUACUUGUUGUAGUUGGUGUGGUGGCCGAGGCAAAUGAGGAUGUGGCAUUAGAGGCAUAUGUGGAGGCUGUAGCUGUGGCAAAUUCGAUGGUUGCAAAGGAUGAGAAGUCAUUUGUUGAGGUAGUGACUGCUGGUGCUGAGCUUGCUGCAUGUUUUGUUGAUAUGCUUGCUGCUGAUUACCCGCAAGAAGAGAUGGAUGUGGACCAGGAGGAAGAGGGGGAGCUCCUAUAGGCAUUGAAACUGGCAUGGAAGACUUCUGUUCUCCUUGAGAUGAAUCAAGCGAUAGUGGCAAUGCAGCUCCAACUCCAGGUAUUGUACCCUCAGUUCGUAACAAGCCAGAGGCAAAUGCUCCAGGAGUUGAUGGGGGCUCAGGACCUGGAAAAUUACCAGGCAUGCGACCAAGAACAUUGUUUUGAUCACCCAAACCUGAAAUCAACCACAAAACCUGUGCUGAGGCUAUUUAAGAAGUAUACUUUGGUAGUUGAAAGAUAGUCAAACUAAGAAUAUUAACAAUGACUACAGAAAAGAAAGAUUAUAAUAUUUCAAGAAUUUAUUUAAAAUCAAAGCUGAUUUUACCCCACGACUACAAAGCCCUAUGCUCUCGAAUCUCGAUAUAUGUACAACAAACUGGUACACAACAGUGUUGUCAAAGGCGCGCUUAAAGUGCGCUUGAGCCCUGAAGCGAGGCUCAAAACAUGUUGAGCGCUUCGCCUCGUUUUGUGGGCGCUUCAGUGUCACAUCAAGGCUCUAAGGCAUACUUUUCCUUGCCAACGAGUGUGAUCCCGAAAAGGCGACACUAAACAAUUCAUAUUUCACUUUAUUGUAAUUGUUUUUCAAUUUAUUUGUUCAUAUAUUUGUUAUUUAUGCUUAUAAUUAUUGGUCUUGGACUACAUAUACAUAUUUUUACUUUUUCUCCAGUUGCGCCUUUUUUCAUUAAAGCCCACGCUUUAUUUGCGCUUUGCGCUUAAAGCCCCAAUGGACCUUAGAGCUUUUUUGCGCUUUUCGCCUUUGAUAACACUGGUACACAAUCUGAAGCACAAUAACUAGCAUAAAAAAAUUAAAGAUAACAUUUACACGGACAGGAAUUAGUAAAACCUUGCUGUCCCAAAUUGAAUUUAUCACGAGCUGGAUCCCCAGGCCUAUUUCUGCACCAAAACUUUGUUGUCUGAUCAUUGCUGCCACUGCAUCAGCAACAAGACCAAUUAGCUAGCUGCAUAGGCUACUUCAGUAAAAUGUUUUAUUGUUGGUGGAGAUGCAGAAUACUAUGUAAUGGAGAAGCUUAAGGACCUCCUUAGUUCUAACGAGAAUGAUAAAGGAAAGAAAACAGCAAGAAAAGCUUGAAAAAGCCACUGAAAGACAGUGACAUGCAAUUCCUCACACACGUAGAUAGAGGAAGGGAGAAAAUAUAACUCCACCCGAUGGAGGUUCUGCAAGAUUUAAAUAAAUAUAAACACGAUCAGGCCUAAAAAGCUAAAUACAAGUAACCACACACAAAGCUACCUGCCCAAGAAAGGUUGAAACAAAAUCUAAAUGAGAUAGCUCACUUAGGAGAAUCUAUUUACCUCUACAAUAAUAAUGAAAUUUUUUGCAACAAAUGAUAUAUCAAUAGUCAAUAAUGCACUUUCAUAUCAGAGUUCAGCAUCGAUUCUGUACUAGAAAAAUGGUGUUCAAUAUAAACCACAACUUCACCCUUUACCAAGAAAAAGAAAACGUUUCAGUUUUUCUCAAUUCAUGUUGCACUUAAGAUAACCAUUCCCUACUCUUUUAGUUUUUAUUUUUCUUUGAGACUGAGGCGGAAACAGGGUGACAUGGGAAGGGGGGUGGGGGGGCUGCUCUGGAAAGAAGACCUUAUGAAAUAAUUUAUCCAGAAAAAUUGACUACUUUGGAUAUAUGAUAAAUUUUACUCAAUAAAAUGACAUUAGAUAAACCAAUAUACAUAACUUACCACCUUUUCUAACAUCUUCCAACAAAACUAUUUUCAGCGUAACUAUAAGUGCCUCAAAUUUGACACACUAUAAUAAAAGGGCAGAAUGGCCUAAUUGCCCCUUAAACUUGCACCAAUUUUAAAAAGCCGGUUUAUCAACUCUCAACUUUCCCAUUUUAACACCUCAAUUCAAUAAAACUACACAUAAUAAACCCCUUCUUCAGAGCGUGUAGCUCAAUUGCCAGACAUGAAGUACAGGUCGUAUGCUUAGACCAUUAUACUUGACAUUUGUCAUUUGUGAGUCCCAUUUUUCAAAAAUUAAGUUAUCAAAAUUUUAAUUUCUUCUUCGUUAAUUUCAUUCACUAUCUUCUACCCCUUUCACCUAUACACAGUAAACCAUACCACCACGGGAAACGAUCUUUCACCCCUAAUCUCAAUUCUCAGCCACCAUCGCGAAAUAAAAAAUCUCAGCCACCACAUGCCUAAUCUCAGCUACAAAUAGGAAAAUCAAACCUUUUAGUACUAAUAGUAGUUAAUAUAAUAGAGAGAAUACAACCAAUAUAAACCUAUUGAGAUUUGCUAUCAAAGUACUGUUCCUUAAAACAACAAAAGCAUCCAACUUUCAGUGAUUCAAGCAGAGGGAAUUCAAGAACUUGGAUCCAUUAAUGUUCAAGAGAAAGAGAAAGCGAGAAUACCCAAAAUAAAUCAAGAAGAGGAAGGACUGAAACAAAAAAAAGCAAUUUUCCAGCCAAAACUCGACAAUUUUCCAGUCUGAGAUGGAUACAGAAAUGAGAGAGGGGACUUGAUGUGAGAGAGAAUUGACAGAGAAAUUUCCGGCCAAACCUCGUUAUUUUUCUUUGUUGCCUGGGUUUUAUAGAGGAGUUUGUUAGUGGUAGUGGUGAGUGGCGUUAAUACCGUUGGUGAUGGAACGAGAAGAAAAGGGGUGGGGGGAAGAAAGGGGUUGGAGAGAGAAAAAAUUGGGUGAGGUUGGGGGCGGAUGAGAAUGGGGAAGGGAAAAGAAACAUAAACGGGUGAGGGGUAGGGGAGGGGGCAAGUUUUUUCUUUUCUUUUUAUUUUCUUAUCUUUUCUUGCUAUGUAUAAUUUUUUUCCCCUAAUUUAAACCUUUUUAAAAUAUAAAUUAUCACACUCACGCUCCUUUUAAGUCUGAAUUGCACGCACUUUAGCCACAUCAUUUGGACCAAUGCCACAUAAGCAUAGUCAACGGUAAGAGGCGUUUAUUUAUAUGCAAUCAAUUGAGUUGAAGUGUCAAAAUGGAAAAAUCAGGAGUUGAGGUGUUAAAAUCCGGUGCAAGUUUAGGGGCCAUUAGACCAUUUUGCCUAAUAAAAGCUAUUCCUAAUUGUACAUAUACUUGAUAAGUUCCCUUGAUGGGAGUUAAAGCCAAGAUACAUGAGAGCAAAAGGAAGUUACUACAUAAGCGAGGGCCAUAGUCGAACACACAACUAAAUUACAUACACAUAACCAAUAUAACUUCAGACUUACAUGAACUUAACGGAGAAAGAAAGUUGAGAGCCCGCAUAAACACUUAAGAACUACAACAGCAGAAGCCGUCAUCCCCACGGCCUAUGACCGAUAAACUUCUUAGUGCGGAUAAAAGACAAAGUCAGAUGUACAACUAUAAUUAUUCACAAACACGUGGUCUAUCCACAGUAAAAGAACAAUUCAAAACAAAUAGACAUUGGGUGGAAAGAACAAGCAUAGUAUAAGAUUACAAGUAGCUUAUCAGAGAUGAAAAGAGAAAAUAAAACAGAAUUUAAAGAACCUCUUCUAUAAGAAAACGGGAAAAGAGCAAAAUUUCAGGAAUGCUUCGUAUUUUUACAGGAGCAUAGAAUUGCAGGGUAAAUAUAACAUGUUCUCGAAAUCAGCUUCAGCUUAUUUUUGUCAUAGUAAGCAGCAGAUUCAGCACCAUAGGUCCAAGCAACACUAACACAAAAAACUUCAAAACAAUAUCCAGUAACAACCACAAUGGAUCGACCAGAUGCCUAAAUAUGCAAGGCAUAGAAGAAAAGCACACCAGUUUUUGAGAAGAAUUCUAACAAUUAGCAUUUUAGAAUAUUGUUUUGUUCAAGUGGAGACAAGUACUAACGUAAUAAACGUCACUUAACAACAGAGCUGCCGUUUAAGAAAAUGCAGUAUAACCUGCAAAGGAGAUAGCCAAUGGGGUGCCAUGCAAGAUCCCAAACACCAGUUUCAUGUGCAUUUGUAAUUUCAACUUGAGGAGCUUCAUGCCUGUGGGUAGAGCAUCAAAAAGCCAAGAGAGACAAAAUCAUUAGAAGCUAUCUGAAUCACUGAUAACAGGGGGAAAUGGUGGGAUCAGACUAAUAAAAGUUAAUUGCCUUUAUGGGUUCAUUUUAUAAGUGAGAAAUCAUAAUCCAAACUAUCUCAUCACAUGUUUGGUUGAGGUUGACAAACUAAGUAGCCCAGAUGGCUCAUUUAUUCCCCACAGUUUACAGAAACUGUAGGAUGAUCCUGCACUGACUCAAUACUGGGUAGAAAGAAUUUUUUGAUUUGAAGCGAAAGAAGCAAACAUGUGUUUAUUCAAUAAAAAUAGGGCAACAUUCAUAUGACAAAAUAUUCAAGUCCACCUCUUACGGGAAUAGCAAAUAAAAAAGAUUUGAGUGAAGGGAGAUGAUUCUUCCCAGAGCGCACAAGUUCGCGACACAGAUCUGACACUUUCCGAGGAGAAAAGGAAAACCGGAGAAUAACCAUUCUACAACUUCACAUAGAACAACCAUAUAUGUCAAUUUUUUUUGUUUUUAUAAGUUAUGACAGCUCGAUGAAGUAAAGAUAUGCGCUAAGAGGAGCAAUUGAAAGAGAAAACUAAGUUCCCUAUCUUAUCUCCGAUGUCCACUUCUCGUUGCCAAGAAUAACCUAGAAUUUUUCAUCUCAUAAGUUUCCUUGACAAGUCUAGGCUAUUAGCAAUAACAUUCAUUCUGAAUCGUCAUUUGUCAUUCUUCCCAACUUGAAUCCAGCCAAAAAGUGCGAGGAGUACCAAACUUCAGUUUUAUUAAAUGGUGCCAAAAGUGCACAAAGAAAAGGUUAAUGUUAUGGCACAGCAAUUAGUAACACUUCUUAUAAUCUAUAGCUAGGUAUCCUGUCACUUCAUCAAAUAAAAACUGUCAUUCCAAUGGCGCACAGUUGACAGAAGUAAAAAAUAUCAAGAUUAAUGUUCUAAACCAGGUCAUAUAACGAUAUUUUGAACGCAUAAGAGAUGCCCAAAAACUAAAGGAGAUAGCACAAACUGAUUUACAGAUGAUAGAGAAAGAAUUUUCAAGGAACUUACCCCACAAGCCAAUGAAAUAUUGAACCAUCAAAGCUUCCGCUAACGAAAUACUCUUCAUGAAACGGAUGCCAGGCCAAUGCUGUCACAGUUACAUGAAAAUAAACAGGCAAUUAUCAAGUAUCACAAACAGUUGAAAGUCGACCAUGGAAGCAUGGUGGAGGAACAAGACAAUAAGUGGAACAAUAAGAGUGAUUAUUAUCUGAAGGGACAAAAUAAAGCAUUAAGAUUUCUGCAUGACAUAGUAGGAAAAACUAAACGCGAUUAACAACCCAGAUUUUUAUCCAGAAAAAACAAUUCAGCAACUAUCUCCAAUUAUAUUAUUUGCUUUUAGUCGACGUGAUCUGAAAUUUCUUUUUCUAAUAAUACCUUGGUGAAAUUUACUGAAUAAUACCAGUAUACUAACUACAAAUUUUUCAUCCGAAUCCAUAACCUGGUCGCUACUUGACAUGCUCGUGCUGUAUGCAUUGCAUAAGAUAUAUACACAAACAAAAAGGUAAUUCUUACAUGUCACAUCCUUCUGAUGUCCCCGGAAUGAUUCAAGCUCCUUCAUAGCCCUUAUGUCAUAAAGCUGAAAUAAACAGAAUGUUACAAUGACAGAAUACAAACCCUUGCACACAAAUACUUGACUUGACAUGAUAAUAAUCUACACCAUUUGCAGGUUUUCUCAUAAGCAUGUGAUUAACAUUCAUAUGAAUGUCAGCUUUGUUAUUCCUUCCUAACCAAAUAAGAAAAUGAAUACUGCAGCUAGAACCGGAGAAGUAAUAAGUAGCAAUACACUUGCUGUGAAGAAGUAGUUGCAGUUAAAAAAUAAGCUAGAAAUGCUAGUUGGUUGCUGCCGACACUCUAAAAAGAGAUUUUAGCAAGCCUUCUCAAAUCCCAAAGUUACAGAUUUAAAGAAACUGACUGAACCACUGCUAAAAAUCACACGACCCUAAAACUUCAAAUACCUCAGAGCACAACUCAAUAGAAGGAAAAAAACAAAAUAAACAUUUCAACUGAAAUCAGCAACUUCAAGUUGAUCCUUAUUCUUGUGGCAAGACUCUUACCAGUAAGUGAAACCUAAUAAAAUCAAGAUUUAGGGGGCGAAAAUGAGAUUUGAUUGUGUAAUCUUAAAAUGAGAAACAAAGAGUAAAACUUUUCGAGAUCAACUACGACUCAAAUAUAGUGCUGCAAAGUCUUUUUUUUCGGGGACAAUCUGGAAUGAGAGGGAUAGGAGACCCUUAAUGAUUGACUCAACAUAUCAUCUGAAGAAACAGAAAAUACCAAAAAGUUCGAAUUCACAGAUAAUAACAUUGAUUAUUGGCAUUGACAUAAUAGGAAUAUUUUGUCUAUUAAGGAGGAUUCCCCGAAUACCUGAAAUAGAGAUUAGUAAUAGAAAAUGUGAAAUAUUUGACAGGAUCCAUUUCGGGAACAUAGAAUGUAAGAGAAAUUCAAAUGUGAGACCGAAGUAGCUAUACAUACAAAUCUAUUUAUGGAACAAGUAAUAUGUUUAAUACUUUUGUCAAUUGCCAUGCAAUUUCAAAAUAAUGAAUUUGUGAAACAAAGUUCGAGAAAUAUGCUCAUGAGCAACCAAUUUACACCACACAUCAUUACGUGCAAAUCAGGAAAAAAGAUCUAUAUUAUUCACAAACCAGCCAUUAAAAUAUCUCAUCCUAAUUGCUUUUAACUGCAUUAGCACCUCCUGGAAAAGGAAGAAAUGGAACAACCUACCUUGAUAAUUUGAUCUUUGGAAGCAGUAAGGACCCAGUUACCAUUUUGAUUCCACUUUACACAGAGAACAGUAUUCUUAUGCCCGUGACUGCAAACAGAACACAGCAUCCAUGUUAUUGCUAAAAAAAUAUAGCUCUUCUUUUUUAUAAAGUCCCAAGUGGAUAGAAAUAGUAACAUUGCAGAUUUAAGGAGAGCAGUUUUUGACUGACAAUGAGGAAAGCUCCUUCCCUGACUUGGCAUCCCAAAGUUUAACAAGAUUAUCUUUUCCACCUGCAAGCAGGACAAAACAAAGAAUCAAAGAACGACUGUAAGUUAGUAACUGCUCAGAACAGUUCCAAAGAAAAGGAGAAGAAAAAUGCAUAUACCUGAGACUAAUAGAGACUUUGUAGGGUGCCAAUCAACACUCUUCACAUCCCAACCAUGGCCUGCCUGGGUUCAAGUGACAUGAGGAACUAUUCUUAGGCCACUCACGCUUAAGUUAACUGGUACAUAAGUGUUGAUGGCAAAAUUGAAGAGUUAUUGCUAGUGCAUUCUUUGGAACAAAAUUUCCAAUUAAUAGUAAACUUUUACCAGAACACAUGUUUAAACAUGUCAUAACAGUGAUUACAGAAGUAAGACGUAAUGGAAGGCAGAGCGCCAUCUGACAGGUAAAAGCAUUACAGCAGUAUGCAUGUUAUUUAUAAAACCAAAAAUGUCGCUUUAGCAUAGUAUCACUGAUACGCAGUCAACCAUCACUUUCAGCUUGAAUUUACAAUCUUUUUAAUAAACAGCUUGAGGGACAUUACCAGAUAAUGAGCGCUCUUCUUGGCACCUUGCAAAGUCCCAUACUUUAACAGUUGUGUCAUCAGAACAGGAGCAAAAUUUUAAAUCUGUACUACAGAAGCUGUUCAAAAAACAUAAGACUUAGCAAGCCACCUAACAUCAUAUAUACCCUAAAAAUACAUUUAAUGAUGCAAAUGUGCUGAUAGAGAAAACUAAAAUGUAAUUAAAACCCAAGUACAUAAAAUCUUUUAAAACCAAGUCACAUCAUUUAGAAUAAUUACCUUAAUCCCCGUACUGAUUCUUUAUGUGCAUUCUUAUUGGCUUUGACGUUAUUCAUAUUGGUUUGCCAAUACCUGCCACAUGAUACAGACGCAAAUUCACGGAUGGGAAAGAAAAACACGACAUAGAUACUGACAGUGUGAAAUGCAGAUUGUUCCAAACAUUUAUUUACUUUAUUGUGCCCCCAUCAUCACCGGUGACCAUCCAGUUAUCAUUGUGGCUCCAUAUCAUUGACCUAACUGCUUGAUCAUGAGCCUGCACAUAAAACAUGUUACAUUGUCCACCCAAUUCGGUUGUCACGUACUAAGAUCUGAAAUUCACAACCCCAGAUUCAUACCUGAAGUAUCAUUUCAAAGUUAAACGACUGCCCAUUCCAGAGUGUGAAUUCACCACUAUGAGAUCCAGUAAUGAGGCGCCGCCCACUAGGAGUCCACUAUGUGAUUCAAGAGAAAAUGUUUGAAUAAGAGAAUAAAGAUUUAGAAGACGAAAUGCACAGAGGGUGUGACACAACCGAGAGAGAGAGAGAGAGAGAGACUCGGAAAACUUUAGUUCUACAUCGUGUCAUAAUGCUAGCUGGAUCUGCUUUAAUUCUUUUAACAGUUGCUUUAGAGUGAUAAUGACAUAAAAGCGGCCCCAAGAGGCUAUUAGAAUUCAAACUACAACAUGUGACAUGAUAAAUCCUUCCAUGUUUUUUUUUAUCCGUUUACUUCCCAGAGAGUUGCUUGUCAGAAUAAACCAAAUACAAAGAGCUCUACCAAGAUAAGAAACUAGUACUUCCCAGUGAAAAACAAAAUCAUCCCAAAGAGAGUUCGAUAGCACAAAUCAUGUUUCAAGGAUCCCGAUUCAUGCAAUUAAUCAAGGCCUUGGAACUACGUGAAUAUUUCAGACACUUGAUGCUUUGAAGAACAAACCAUGAUUGAACGAUUUUACUAAUAAAUAUUACUCCCUCCAUUCCAUUUUACUAUGGCGGUAUUUGAUUGGACAUGCAGUUUAAUAUGUUUAUUUGACUUAUAUAUUAGCGACGGAGGAACAGAGUAUUACAAGUAGUGUUGGAAAAGCUAGUUUGAUAGAAAGAUAUUAACAUCAAAAUUUAAACUCUGAUAAAUUUAACAAGUUUGAAUUCUUGACAGUUUUGAGAGUUGUAUAGAAAUGGAACAGUGUCAAACAUUUUGGACGUCAUAAAAAAGGACAAAGUGUCACAUUAAUAGGGACGGGAGGAGUAUCAAGUAGCUCAUGGGCAUAUGUACAUAGUUGCAUGCGUGCUUCUGGACAUAGUAAUUCAAUUGCCAACACAGAACCAAAGAUAUACACAACAAAAGUACAAAUGAAUGAUAGAGGGCCAAAAAGAAUCCUUCAACUCACCGCAACACAAUUGAUUGAACAACGGUUUUUAUUUAGAGAUGUAUGAACAAAUUUAGCAGCAAAACUUGUGGAGGGAUUAUCCAAAUAGGCAACUGCUGGCAAUACCUGCACCCAUGAACAAACAUAAAAUCAUAAUUAAAAGAAAUAAAUUAGAAGAACAUGUAACCUUGCUCAUUUUUUUUAUAUGUGUGCAACCAGAAACACAUUUUCAGGAAUUUCUGUAGAACCAUUAGCAUUUAUUUUGCUGGUUUCAGGAGAAUAGCUUUAAUAGUAUGUUCAGCGGUAGGAGACUUCAAACUUCUAAUUAUAUGUGGAAUACACAAAUUAUCUUUAAGGGUUAGUUUGGUACUUUUUUGGAAAUCUAAGUUACAAACUUAACAAUUAACUUUGUCCACUAGGUGGUACUAGAAUCUUCUUGAGUUCUUGGAGUCUAUAACUAGCAUUAUAUGCAGGUAAAACUGAACUAUGAUCACCUUCCUAGACUACACGUAAUACGUAUGUUUUGGUUAACUUUCCUCAAGAUUGCCUGAUUACAAUUCUUCAAACUUUCCUCAGAUAAGGAAAAUGUUCUCCAAAGACAUGCUAUUCUCAUGGCACAUGCUCUUUUUAUUUGAAAAUCAAUGUUUGUAAAUACAGAAUAACAAGUUUGAAUAAUUUAACAUAAGCAUAUUGAAAACUACAGAACUAUAGCCAAUUUCUUUGGCUCCUGCUACUUUAAUGGCAGUUCACUAUAGCUUUGGGUAGAAUUUUGCACAAACCAAGAACUUAAGGACUAUAUAGUUGGGGUGAUUUUCUCUUUUUACUUCUCACUCAGGAAAAGUUUAUCAUAGAUAUCAGCAGUAAUAGAAGAUCACAACGUAUAAUCAUAGAAACUAAACUAAAUUAUGCAGAAUCAAAGACCAAAUCGUAAGUGAGCAAACUGACAUCAACAGCUGCUGCUGGACUAGGUUGUAACACUGUCCUAUCCCUCGAGUCGCGCUGCCACAUGCGGAUCUGCAGGAAAGCAAUAGUUCUUGACUUUGGACCAGAAUAACCUUAGAAGUUAAAGAAUAUUAUGAGUACCAUUGCCAAGUUGUCAAGCCCACAGAAAAGACCAAAACCGGAGUUAUUAAUGGACAAAAUAAUAAAGACGACUUUGGUUUCUCAUUCUCAUUUUUCUACCUCUUUUUAAGAGGAAAAUAUUUUAAGAAUUUCUCUUCUUUUUAGUUCCUGCUCUCACUUCUUUUCCUUUUUUAAGAUACAAGAUCUCAUUACCUAGAGCUAUUGCAACCAAAGAGCACAACAACUUAUAAUAUAUCAGAACAUAAAUAAAGCUCAUACGGGUGUUAGCUACUGCAAAUUAGAACCAUGUAAUUGGUUCUUGUGGAGUUGGAACUAGAAAAGAGGUUGGAGUCCUUCAAAAAAUAUGUGGCAUUUCAGCUUCUGGAAAGAUAAUUAGUGCAAAGCUCUAUAAUGUUCCUGAGUGUAUGAUUAAUACUAGUACUAGACAAAUAAACCACUCUACAUGCUAUAUUUACUGCUACUUGAGAAGUAGUACUAACGAAACACUAUACAUCCUAUCAUCUUUCUACUCUAACCAUUGGAAGAGCAAUGUAUGAUAAGUAUUGUAGUACUACGUAUCUUCCUUUCAAAAUUAUACAAUCAUAUCGCCCGAGUUCCAUAGAACCUAACACAGAGAAACUCAUACCAUAGAAUCAUGUGGUACCAACAAUGUGAUAUGGGAUGAUUGUUGUGUCUUUAAGGCCCAACAUAUCCCUGAGUUGAGCGUCAUAGAGGAUGUUAAGAUAGAUAUGUGAUCAUACAAGAAAUGGACAGCAUUCAAGAUGAUCACAUUCAAAGGAAAGUGCAAAUAGGAAUAAAAUAAGAGAAGGAAAGCUCCAUCUCAAAAAAAAAGGAAUAAAAUAAGAGAAGGUCGCAUCAAGUGCAUCAACCCCUAGGUGCAACACCUAUGAUGAUUGAACUCGUUAAAAUGGAACGAGGUAGACCUAAAAUCAUAAUCUCUGGGAAUCAAUACGAAAUUAACUAAGCACAUAACAUAAUGGAAGCAAAUCAUCCAUAUAGUCAAUAGCAACAAGACUAAAAUUGAUUAAAAAGAAUCUUGCUAACUUUUCGUAAUUGUGACUGGACAACAGCUCGUGGUUCUAUCCCCUUGAAAGAAAGAAAAGAGGAAAUGAGCCUGCACUUGCCGUAAUUCCUUAUGUGACAGGACAACAGCUAAUGAAUCUAACCCCUUGCUAAUUUAUAUAAUAGUACUAUAUAGAAGAACAUUUGCUGCACCACAUCCCAUAAGCAGGUCUCUGGAUAAAAAAACACAUUCAACAGUUAUUACCUGCAUAUAUCUUACAACUGUACUAGUGUAAUCAACUGCUCUUCUUUGACCAAUUUUUCUCAUUCUCUUUGCAGCAAAACUGUCAGCAUGAGCUGCAAAUAUAAGGAAAAGAAUAAAAAAUUAGUAGCCAUCAUAAUUCGGUCCAGUAAUGUCUCAUCAAAGCAAAAGUAAGUCCCUAAGAACCAAGGUAACAUUCAUCCUCUCUUCAACUAUUAUCAGAAAGUGGAUUGGACCUACACUUACCUAAACAAUAAGAAAUGGCAGGUCCUAUGUGGAUUUGAUCAUAUGAGACAAUCAUAGCCUCAUAGUUGUUAUCAGUCGUUUUGUGGGUAAGAUGAGAAAGGACAUCAAAAUUGGCUGCUGAAUCAGAUAACAAGAAACAGAGAAGUGAUGAGGAAAUUGCCUAUUAACCUUCUUCCUGCUUCCAACAUUCUGCAUUUAUCUUGCUUCUCUUACAAAGUGAAAAUGAUAAUUGGUAUUAAUAGUUCAACUGUGAUCUGUGAGCUGAAAAUUUUCUUUCUUCUCCAACUAGAUAGAAACUAUAUCGUAUAACGACUAAAGAGGUUGUUCCCAAAUAACACUAAACAUUAGUCUCUCCCUUUGUCCCUUUCAAAUUACUUCCAAUUUACAACUUUCUGUUUCUACCCCUUAAAGAAUUUUUUUUUCAGAUUAAUCAAUGACACAACGGCAUUUUGGUAACUGGUCAAACAAAUAAAAGAAAAAAGAAAGCUUUAGCUAGUUCUUUUUUCCAACAAAAAUUUAAGUUCAUAACAACUAGAUUCCAAAUACGUCCUACCAGUUGUACGCUAUGCUAAAAAACAUGUCAAUUCAAAUAUGAGAAGUAAAAGAGCGGAUGAAACACUGGUAAACAAGACAUACCAUCAUAAGAAGGAUGAGGAGUAGGUCCAGGUGGCUGAGCAUUAAGAGUAGUGGAGGAUGCAGAUGGCUGCCGCAUCAUGGGAGGUGGACCUGGUGGAGGUUGAGGACCCCUUGGAAACUCUCCAAAAUGUGGAGGGUGUUGUUGCUGGUGUUGGUGCUGGAAUUGUUGCUGUGGCAUC
rnacentral:lncRNA from 1 species